UACAGAGGAUGCAAGCGUUAUCCGGAAUGAUUGGGCGUAAAGCGUCUGUAGGUGGCUUUUUAAGUCCGCCGUCAAAUCCCAGGGCUCAACUCUGGACAGGCGGUGGAAACUACCAAGCUGGAGUACGGUAGGGGCAGAGGGAAUUUCCGGUGGAGCGGUGAAAUGCGCAGAUAUCAGGAGGAACACCGGUGGCGAAGGCGGGUCUCUGGGCAGUAACUGACGCUGAGGCGCGAAAGCUAGGGGAGCAAACAGG
rnacentral:rRNA from 1 species